rnacentral:rRNA from 1 species
CCUACGGGUUGCAGCAGUGAGGAAUAUUGGUCAAUGGACGAGAGUCUGAACCAGCCAAGUAGCGUGAAGGAUGACUGCCCUAUGGGUUGUAAACUUCUUUUAUAGGGGAAUAAAAUGUGCCACGUGUGGGAUUUUGUAUGUACCAUAUGAAUAAGGAUCGGCUAACUCCGGGCCAGCAGCCGCGGUAAUACGGAGGAUCCGAGCGUUAUCCGGAUUUAUUGGGUUUAAAGGGAGCGUAGGGGGAGUGUUCAGUCAGUUGUUAAAGUUUGCGGCUACACCGUAAAAUGGCAGUUGCAACUGCCAGUCUUGAGUACAGUAGAGGUGGGCGGAAUUCGUGUUGUAGCGG